rnacentral:rRNA from 1 species
UACGAGGGGUGCAAGCGUUGCUCGGAAUUAUUGGGCGUAAAGGGUAGGUAGGUGGUCUUUUUUGUCAGGGGUGAAAGCCUUGGGCUUAACUCAAGAAGUGCCCCUGAAACGGGAAGACUAGAGUCUUGGAGAGGGUCGUGGAAUUCCCGGUGUAGAGGUGAAAUUCGUAGAUAUCGAGAGGAACACCGGUGGCGAAAGGCGGCUACCUGGACAGAAACUGACGCUGAGACGCGAAAGCGUGGGGAGCAAACAGG